GUGGGAGGAUCCCUUGAGCCUGGGGAGGUCGAGACUGCAGUGAGCUGUGAUCAUGCCACUGCACUCCAGCCUGAGUGACAGAGCAAGACCCUGU
rnacentral:miRNA from 1 species